rnacentral:rRNA from 1 species
AACUUCUGAAUGUUGACCUCGGAUCAGGUAGGAUA